rnacentral:snRNA from 1 species
GGAUGUGAGGGUGAUCUGGCUGCGACAUCUGUCACCCCAUUGAUUGCCAGGGUUGAUUCAGUUGAUCUGGCUGGCUAGGCAGGUGCCCCCUUCCUCCCUCACAGCUCCAUGUGUGUCCCUCCCGAAGCUGUGCGCUCCGCUCCUUCAAAGAGGAUGGCCUUCCCUGAAUAGAGAGGGACUAAGCUCCCCUGACAGAACCUCCAAACAAGCUCUCAAGAAUAGGAAAGCUAUCAGGGGAGGGGAUGGGAUAUGGAGUUCUGGUGGUGGGAAUUGUGCAAAGUUGUACACCUCUUAUCC